rnacentral:rRNA from 1 species
UACGUAGGGCGCAAGCGUUGUCCGGAAUUAUUGGGCGUAAAGAGCUCGUAGGCGGUCUGUCGCGUCCGUUGUGAAAACUCGAGGCUCAACCUCGGGCUUGCAGUGGAUACGGGCAGACUAGAGUGCGGUAGGGGAGACUGGAAUUCCUGGUGUAGCGGUGAAAUGCGCAGAUAUCAGGAGGAACACCGGUGGCGAAGGCGGGUCUCUGGGCCGAAACUGGACGCUGAGGAGCGAAAGCUAGGGGAGCAAACAGGA